UAACCAUCCAUGACAGGUGGUCCCUUAUUUACAUGUGGGACCCGCAUUCUGGCGGACAGGUCGUACUUCCGUGCUCGCGGUGACGCCGCGUCGCCGCCGGCGAUCAGAUCCAGUGCUUCUCGUAGGUAGCGGCGUCGGCGGUGGUCAUGUGGUCGACCGCGGCGUGGUGGUGGGCCCACCACCACAUACGCCUCCUUCUCCCGGCCCUCUUCCUCGCCGCCGCCCUCUUCUUCUUCCUCGCCUCCCCGCGCUCCUCCCCAUCCUUCUUCGCCCUACCGGCCUCCAGGGAGCAUUCGCCGUCGGGGUCGCGGCUCAUAUGGGCGCAGCGGCGUUUGGCGGAGUGGCGGCCGUGCGAGUGGUGGCAGACGGCAAUGCCCGCAGCUCCGUCGACGAGGAAUGGCUACAUCAGGAUAGAUUGCUACGGCGGCCUCAACCAGCUGCGGCGCGAUCUGUGCGAUGGAAUUGCGGUUGCACGUCUUCUGAACGCGACAAUGGUUCUGCCCAAGUUUGAGGUUGCUGCAUACUGGAAUGAGUCUAGUGGUUUUGCAGACGUGUUUGAUGUUGAUCACUUCAUUGAGCAAACUAGAGGUUAUGUGGAAGUGGUGAAGGAUAUGCCCGAGGAGAUAUCGUUGAAAGAGCCAUUUAAGGUCGAUUGCCGAAAACGGAAAGGACAUUUUGAUUAUGUAGAAACAGUUCUUCCAGCUCUUUUAGAACAUCGAUACAUUUCUCUGACACCUGCCAUGAGCCAAAGAAAAGAUAGAUAUCCAGCACAUGCGAAAGCUUGUUACUGCCAAGGUUGCUACAAUGCACUCCAGUUGAACAAGAAGGUGGAAGCCAAAGCUAUGGAGCUUCUCCAAGCGAUACCAAAACCUUUCUUAUCACUUCACCUUAGAUUUGAACCAGAUAUGGUUGCCUACAGUCGAUGUGAAUACAGUGCCCUUUCUUCCAAAUCACUGGAUGUGAUUGAAGCUGCACGUGGGGAGGACAGGAAUGUAUUGAUUGGUGAUGCUGCUCAUCUGUGGAGGAACCGUGGAAAGUGCCCUCUAACACCAAGUGAGACAGCAUUUAUCCUCCAAGCACUAGGUAUUCCUACGGAGACAAACAUUUAUUUAGCUGCUGGGGAUGGGUUAAUGGAACUCGAGGGCUUCACUUCGAUCUACAAAAAUAUGUAUACUAAAUCGUCUCUCCUGACUCAUGAAGAUUUUGAGAGGAUGCAUGGCAACACAAAAGCUGCUCUCGACUACUAUGUUUCAGUCAACAGCGAUGCUUAUGUUACCACAUUCUUUGGAAAUAUGGAUAAGAUGGUAACUGCAAUGAGAACAAUGCAAGGGCUGCAGAAGACAUUGGUCUUGAGUAGGAGGGCCUUCGCAAACUACACGGCUGCUGGACUGGCAGGGGACCAACUAGCUAAGGCCAUGUGGGAUGCUCACCGAGAGGAUUAUAUCAUGGGGAGGGGAUUAGCUCUCCCUGAACAUUGCUUUUGUGAGUUCAAGUUGUAGUACAAAUGAGCCCAUAUAACACAAGGGCUAGUCUACACGGCCACCUUCCAAUUGGUAGCACUAAUAGAUCGCAUUGUGGCUGAGUUGCUACUGCAGUGGGCGUUAUGCCCAAUCUUCAGAAGAAACUGUUCUUCAUCAGAGUCGCGAGCUGCACAGCGUCUUGAUUCAGGGAGCAAUUAUCACUCAUACAGCAAUGCAUCAUGGCCUCUCCUCCUGUAUACUGUUUCCGGGACUUGUUUGGUUCUUGAUGCCCUGGUCAGUUUUGCUUCUAGAAGGAGAAUCGGAUUCGGAUUCCAACAACUGUCCCAUCUCGAUUGUUAACAAGUCAAUGGGAACUAUGUUUAACAAGAAGCCCUAAAUGCAAUGCAUGAUGCAUUCCGCGCCAACGAGUGGAGUGUGCAUCAAUCACCCACUGGCGGUUGAUACAUUAAACAACACUUCCAGUUGCACAGGCCAUAUUCGUCAUCACUCCGUGUUUGGGCUAGUAGUCUAUGCGACCAGUGGUUACUUUCAUAUUUUACGUCAUGGCAAGUAAGCUUAAAUAAAUUGGUGUUGAGCAUGUCAUCUUUAACUGUAUUCCGUUGCUCGCGCCUUCAGUUUGGCAGCUGAAGCAAGCAACAGACGGAAGGAUAACCUCUCGAGAGUGUAUACCUCUUUUUUCAUCAUCGCCUUUUCAAAUACGCAGACUGAUGCAAGUAGUGUGAUGUCAAAUUUAAUUUGAAACAUGCUGCACGUACCAGUGGCCAUCGUUUUGUUGCAAUAUCGACUGCGUUGGACAAGUUAUAAAACGACAUGUUAGAAAGGACAGUGGGCGUGGGUGCUUUAUUUGCUGUCUCUGAAGGGGGAAAAGGCCACUAGAUUAUCUUGACCUUGUGUGAACGCCGAGGACUCCAAGUCAAUGACUUGAACCUGAGGAGACGUGAUGCAACUUC